CUAUUUGCCUCAAAUGCCAAAUACCUUGGUCCAGCAGGCAGCAGGGUACCUGGGGGAAGGAUCAGACAGACCCAGGUGAGAAUUCCGUGUGACUGAGGCAGGGCCUUCAUCUCUCUGAGCCUUGGUUUCCUGCACAGCCUACAUGGUUGUCAUCGUAAUGCCACAGGUAACUGCAGGGCAAUAAGACCAUUUAUGGCAGAGUUUCGUACCAGGUGGUGUAUUUAUUAAGAGGAUUAGUGAAAACUUUCUAAAAGGUAAAUCACACUUUAUCAUUACUUUGCUUAAGAUAUUCCUAUGAUCGUCCAUUGCCUCUCCUGUAAAUUUCGAUUUCCUUGCUGUGACCAAGAUAUCUCUACACGAUCCGGCCUCUAGCUAUAUUUUCUCCUUCGUGUCAUUUUUCUUGUUGCUGUUUGUACUUCUGCCAUUUUAGUCCUCAUUUUUUUUUUUUUUGAACAGGUCAAGCUUGUUCUUGCCCCAAAGAUUUUGUAUUUUCAAUUCCUUCUAGAAUGUUCAUUCCCCAAAUCAUCUCACAGCUCAUUCCUUCUUAUCAUUCUGGUUCUAACGGUCUUAUCCGAUAGGUUUCUAGUCUAGCCUAUGACCCUGUGUUAUCCAUUUGGGGACACUUAUCACGGUCUAUGGUAACUUCAUGUUUGCUUCCUUCUUUAGCAUCUGUCUCUUUCAACUAGAACACAAGCUCCAUGGAAGACGGGUCCUUUUCUUCCUUGUUCAAAUCUGGAUCCUCAGCACCUGUCCCAUAGCUCGAUCCACCUCAGUGGACUGACGGAGGACAUUUGUGCCAUCCAUAAAUCACAACAGGAAAUGAUGACCCGACAGCUGGCUAGGAAAACUGCAUCCGUUUUUAAAGAAGUUGCCCUUGUCUCAUUGUGGGACCUUGAAGAAAUUCAGAUAAAAGUUUGGAAGCGUUCACGUAAUGCUUGUCAAAUGCUUAUUUGAGAGUCCCAAUUCUCUCUUUCUUCCUAUUCCUCACAACUAGUGUUGAUUCACGUUCAUCCACAAUUGUGAAUA